UGCCAUUGCUGUUAAAUUGAGGGGGUCUACAUAUUUGGGUUGCUGUCCACAAGAAAUACUGGUCAACACCCCAAAAAAUGGAGGAAAACAAGAGAUAACCAAGAGAAAAAAAAAAUUAAAAGCAAGAAGCAAAUACAUGUUUAACCAAAUAAACAUGAUCACAACUACUGCAAAUACCAGAUUAGUAAGCUAAGCAUAAGAAGCACGUGAUCAAGAAAUAGGAGAAAAUUUUAGUUAUAGGCUGAUGCCAAUUACGAACAACGAAAUUGCCACUGUUAAGAGUUAGACUGAUAAUGCUAACAGGUUAUGUACAUAGCAUCUAAUGCAACUUCUAGGAAGUAUAUAAUGAGAGUGGACGAGUAUCUCAGUAGUUAGUAACUAAUAAAUAAGUGAGGAAGAUACGUUUAAUCAAGCAGUCCACAGGUUACGAGAUUCAUGGUCACGAAAUCAUAUAGAUGCAGAAAUCGUACCAGCAAUCCAGCCUGUGCAAGAGUUGCAGUGAUGGGG
rnacentral:misc_RNA from 1 species